AUCAAUAUUUUGUUUCGGAAUAACACAAACCACAGUCAUCUGUCACAGUUUCUCUCAUCAAAAUGGGUUUAGUAAAAUCUCUGCUACUAUUGUUCGUUUUUAUGCUCACAAUUCAGAUAAUUACCUGCCAUUGGUACGGCAGGUUCGGCUACCCCCCACCUCCGCCUCCACCCCCGCCGGGCAUAUUUGGGGGGUUUGGAUACGGCGGAUUUUACAGACCAUACCCACAGAUUAUAAUCGCGCCACCACCCCCACCGUUCUUCGGUUGAUAUAAGCUUCGGCCGUUGCGACUUCUAACACUUCUGGCCUAGAUUCUAAUACCGUUGUUAUGUAAAUGGUUGUAUUAAUUUUACGAUAAUUGUAUAUUUGUAAGAUAUAAUAAUAAAUGUUAAUGUGU